ACGUGCCUAAGAAAUGCAGUCGAGCGAGGAGCAAUCCUAGCGGCGAACGGUCGCGUAACACGUAAGCAACCUGCCCCAGAGACCGGGACAACGUUCCGAAAGGAGCGCUAAUACCGGAUGUGCCCGCAAAGAGGAAUCUCUUGGUGAGUAAAUCAAGCAAUUGGCUCUGGGAGGGGCUUGCGGCCUAUCAGCUAGAUGGUGGGGUAACGGCUUACCAUGGCGACGACGGGUAGCUGGUCUGAGAGGAUGGUCAGCCGGAUUGGGACUGAGAUACGGCCCAGACUCCUACGGGGGGCAGCAAUUAGGAAUCUUGCGCAAUGGGCGAAAGCCUGACGCAGCGACGUCGCGUGGGGGAGGAAGGCUUUCGGGUUGUAAACCCCUUUUGUCGAGGAAGAAGGAUGUGACGGUACUCGACGAAUAAGCCCCGGCUAACUCCGUGCCAGCAGCCGCGGUAAUACGGAGGGGGCGAGCGUUGUCCGAAGUUACUGGGCGUAAAGCGCGCGUANGCGGGUGGGUAAGUCCGCUGUGAAAGC
rnacentral:rRNA from 1 species